AGUGCACUGGAAAUUUAACGCUUCCGUUGAUAGAACACUGCUCUCUUAUUGAUCACAAAGUUACAGAUUUAUUGGAGACACUCGGAUGGAAUUUUGAUGUACAUUGUGGCAAGAAGGCACACAAAAUUUUUCCUUUUUAGACCACGUGUUUUCUGUCUUUGAUCUUAGAUCUCGUACUCUAUCAAAGUAUUACUGAACUCAAGAUCUUUCAGAGUAAUUUGAAAAGAUCUUCAUUCAAACAGAAAACAUUCUAUCUAAGUGCAUUCCAAAGAAUCACCACUCCUGACAACGACAGAUAAAUUUCAAAUUCUGGGUUGAACAGUUAUUGUCUCAAGUGUUUUAUUCAUGGGCACAAUAUGCAAAAUACAGAGUGCGGAGCCUUACUGAGAGCCAGAUUGAGAGAAAUACAAAAGCUAAAAACUACCUUUGUGGAAUCAAAAAGGGUAUUUGAGGACCUUCAACAUAAUGCACUGGAACAUAAAAU
rnacentral:lncRNA from 1 species